AUUGAACGCUGGCGGCAUGCCUAACACAUGCAAGUCGAACGAGUGGCGGUCGGGUGAGUAAUAUUUCCGAACGUGCCUGCUGGCGGGGGAUACCUACUCGAAAGAGUAGCUAAUACCGCAUACUCUAGGAGCUGCCGAUAUGGGAUUAGCUAGUGGGUGGGGUAAAGGCUCACAAAGGAAACGGUCCCUAGCUGUUCUGAGAGGACGACCGGCCACACUGGGACUGAGACACGGCCCAGACUCAUACGGGAGGCAGCAGUGGGGAAUUUUGGACAAUGGGGGAAACCCUGAUCCAGCCAUCCCGCGUGUAUGAGAAGGCCUUCGGGUUGUAAAGUACUUUUGGCAGAGAAGCGGUAUCUGCAGAAUAAGCACCGGCUAACUACGUGCCAGCAGCCGCGGUAAUAC
rnacentral:rRNA from 1 species